rnacentral:rRNA from 1 species
AUACGGAGGGUCCAAGCGUUAUCCGGAAUCAUUGGGUUUAAAGGGUCCGCAGGCGGUCAAUUAAGUCAGAGGUGAAAGCCCAUCGCUCAACGAUGGAACUGCCUUUGAUACUGAUUGACUUGAGUUAUACGGAAGUAGAUAGAAUAAGUAGUGUAGCGGUGAAAUGCAUAGAUAUUACUUAGAAUACCGAUUGCGAAGGCAGUCUACUACGUAUAUACUGACGCUGAGGGACGAAAGCGUGGGGAGCGAACAGGAUUAGAAACCCCAGUAGUCC